rnacentral:rRNA from 1 species
AGAGUUUGAUCAUGGCUCAGGAUGAACGCUAGCGGCAGGCCUAAUACAUGCAAGUCGAACGGGUUGGAGUAGCAAUACUCCAAUUAGUGGCGCACGGGUGCGUAACGCGUAUGCAACUACCUUUUAUUGGGGGAUAGCCCGAGGAAACUCGGAUUAAUACCGCAUAAUAUCAUUUGAGGGCAUCUGAAGAUGAUUAAAGCUAAGGCGAUAAAAGAUGGGCAUGCGUGUCAUUAGCUAGUUGGUUGAGGUAACGGCUCACCAAGGCUUCGAUGACUAGGGGUUCUGAGAGGAUGAUCCCCCACACUGGUACUGAGAUACGGACCAGACUCCUACGGGAGGCAGCAGUAGGGAAUAUUGGGCAAUGGACGCAAGUCUGACCCAGCCAUGCCGCGUGCAGGAUGAAGGCCUUCUGGGUUGUAAACUGCUUUUAUCUAGGAAGAAAACACCCUUGCGAGGGGAACUGACGGUACUAGGUGAAUAAGCACCGGCUAACUCCGUGCCAGCAGCCGCGGUAAUACGGAGGGUGCAAGCGUUGUCCGGAUUUAUUGGGUUUAAAGGGUGCGUAGGCGGCCCUGUAAGUCCGUGGUGAAAGCCAACAGCUCAACUGUUGAACUGCCAUGGAUACUGCAGGGCUUGAGUACAGACGAGGUAGGCGGAAUGGAUAGUGUAGCGGUGAAAUGCAUAGAUACUAUCCAGAACACCGAUUGCGUAGGCAGCUUACUAGGCUGUAACUGACGCUGAGGCACGAAAGCGUGGGGAGCGAACAGGAUUAGAUACCCUAGUAGUCC